CCCUGGCUCAGAACGAACGCUGGCGGCAGGCUUAACACAUGCAAGUCGAGCGCCCCGCAAGGGGAGCGGCAGACGGGUGAGUAACGCGUGGGAAUCUACCCUUUUCUACGGAAUAACGCAGGGAAACUUGUGCUAAUACCGUAUGAGCCCUUCGGGGGAAAGAUUUAUCGGGAAAGGAUGAGCCCGCGUUGGAUUAGCUAGUUGGUGGGGUAAAGGCCUACCAAGGCGACGAUCCAUAGCUGGUCUGAGAGGAUGAUCAGCCACAUUGGGACUGAGACACGGCCCAAACUCCUACGGGAGGCAGCAGUGGGGAAUAUUGGACAAUGGGCGCAAGCCUGAUCCAGCCAUGCCGCGUGAGUGAUGAAGGCCCUAGGGUUGUAAAGCUCUUUCACCGGUGAAGAUAAUGACGGUAACCCGGAGAAGAAGCCCCGGCUAACU
rnacentral:rRNA from 1 species